CCGUCUUGAAACACGGACCAAGGAGUGCAAGAGGCGCGCGAGUCUUGGGGUGAUCCUUUCACGAUCUAGGGCGAAGCGAGAGUGAGACGCGGGAGCCGGCGUUGGUCGGCGCAUCGCGCACCGCGCCGUAUGGUCACGCUGUGGCCGGCUCUAAGUCAGAGCUCGCCUGUUGCGACCCGAAAGAUGGUGAACUAUGCCCGAGGAGGGUGAAGCCAGGGGAAACUCUGGUGGAAGCUCGUAGCGGUUCUGACGUGCAAAUCGAUCGUCGCACUUGGGUAUAGGGGCGAAAGACUAAUCGAACCAUCUAGUAGCUGGUUCCCUCCGAAGUUUCCCUCAGGAUAGCUGGAGCCCGGCUGGGCAGUUUUAUCGGGUAAAGCGAAUGAUUAGAGGUAUCGGGGUCCGAGUGACCUCGACCUAUUCUCAAACUUUAAAUAGGUAAGGUCGGGCGGCUUGCUCGUGUGAAGCCGCACCGCGGAAUGCAGGGGCUCCUGGUGGGCCGUUUUUGGUAAGCAGAACCGGCGAUGCGGGAUGAACCGAACGGCGGGUUACGGUGCCGGAGUCGACGCUGACCAGAGCCCCAGGAAAGGUGUUGGUUGAUCCAGACAGCAGGACGGUGGCCAUGGAAGUCGGAAUCCGCUAAGGAGUGUGUAACAACUCACCUGCCGAAUCAACUAGCCCUGAAAAUGGAUGGCGCUGA
rnacentral:rRNA from 1 species